GACGGAGGAUGCAAGUGUUAUCCGGAAUCACUGGGCGUAAAGCGUCUGUAGGUGGUCAAAUAAGUCAACUGUUAAAUCUUGAGGCUUAACCUCAAAAUCGCAGUCGAAACUAUUAGACUAGAGUAUAGUAGGGGUAAAGGGAAUUUCCAGUGGAGCGGUGAAAUGCGUAGAGAUUGGAAAGAACACCGAUGGCGAAGGCACCUUACUGGGCUAUUACUAACACUCAGAGACGAAAGCUAGGGUAGCAAAUGGG
rnacentral:rRNA from 1 species